AAGUCGUAACAAGGUCUCCGUAGGUGAACCUGCGGAGGGAUCAUUACAGAGUUCAUGCCCUAACGGGUAGAUCUCCCACCCUGUGUUAUAAUUACUUUGUUGCUUUGGCGGACCGUUAGGCUCGCGUCUACCACCGGCUUUAGCCGGUGUGUGCCCGCCAGAGGACCCAAAACCCCGAAUUUUAGUGUCGUCUGAGUACUAUAUAAUAGUUAAAACUUUCAACAACGGAUCUCUUGGUUCUG
rnacentral:misc_RNA from 1 species